AAUCUUUCAAAUCUGAGGUAAACUCCUUCAAAUCUUAGGAUAAAUUCUUCAAAUCUGAGGUAAACUCCUUCAAAUCUGAGAUAAAUUCUUCAAAUCCAAGAUAAAAUAUGCAAAUCUAAGGUCCAAGGAUACAGAUCUGGGGUAAAAAUUAGGUUAAUUUGAAGCUAAAAAUAAGCCCAAACUGAGACAAACAAUAGGAGUCAAGCAAAAUCCAAAAAGCUCCCAAACAGUACUCACAACUCUCAUGGUAAAAAGCUUUUGAAUCUUAUCUAUUAUUCUGUGUCAUUCUUUUUGAACAACAGAUCUUCAAGCAUUUAAAUUAAAGUGAAGAUCAAAUGAAAGCCAUAAAGAUGAGGUGAAACCUAUGAGACGACCUCCAAAAAACUAGUCUCAAAGGGUCAACAUCACCAGAAGGCCAUCGAGAGUGCAUGCCAUAGGUACAAGCUCGCUGUCAGUACACAAUGCCUCUCACGCAAUGAUAAGAAGUGCUAGAUGCCACAGGCACACUACGUCACUCAUGAGAGAUAACUAAUCAGACCCUUAGAAGACCAUCGAGAGUGUAUGCCACAAGAACAAGCUCACCACCGGUACACAAUACAUCUCGCACAAAGAUGAGAAGUGCUAGAUAUCGUAGGCAUAAGAUCGUCGUAGGCACACAACAUCACUCAUGAGGGAUAACUUAUCAGACCCUCAAAAGAUCAUCGAGAGUGCAUGCCACAGGCACAAGCUCACCGUUGGUAUAUAAUACCUCUCAUGCAAAGAUGAGAAGUGCUAAUGCUGUAGGCACA
rnacentral:lncRNA from 1 species